rnacentral:rRNA from 1 species
UACGGGGGGGCGAGCAGUUGUUUCGGUGAAUUACUGGGCGUAAAGGGCUCGUAGGCGGCCAACUAAGUCAGACGUGAAAUCCCCAGGCUCAACCUGGGAACUGCGUCUGAUACUGGAUGGCUUGAAUCCGGGAGAGGGAUGCAGAAUUCCAGGUGUAGCGGUGAAAUGCGUAGAUAUCUGGAGGAAUACCGGUGGCGAAGGCGGCAUCCUGGACCGGCAUUGACGCUGAGGAGCGAAAGCCAGGGGAGCAAACGGG